AGUCAUAUGCUUGUCUCAAAGAUUAAGCCAUGCAUGUGUAAGUACAAGCCGAUUUAAGGCGAAACCGCGAAUGGCUCAUUAAAUCAGCUAUGUUUCAUUGGAUCUGUAAACCCACUUACUUGGAUAACUGUGGCAAUUCUAGAGCUAAUACAUGCAAUUGGUCUCUGACCGCAAGGGAAGAGCGCUUUUAUUAGUUCAAAACUGGUCGGGCCCCGGUCCGUAACCCACCUGUGGUGAAUCUGAAUAACUUCGGGCUGAGCGCACGGUCUCCGCACCGGCGCCGCUUCUUUCAAGUGUCUGCCUUAUCAGCUUUCGAUUGUAGGUUAUGCGCCUACAAUGGCUAUAACGGGUAACGGGGAAUCAGGGUUCGAUUCCGGAGAGGGAGCCUGAGAAACGGCUACCACAUCUAAGGAAGGCAGCAGGCACGCAAAUUACCCACUCCCGGCACGGGGAGGUAGUGACGAAAAAUAACGAUGUGAGUCUCAUCCGAGGCCUCGCAAUCGGAAUGAGUACACUUUAAAUCCUUUAACGAGUAUCCAUUGGAGGGCAAGUCUGGUGCCAGCAGCCGCGGUAAUUCCAGCUCCAAUAGCGUAUAUUAAAGUUGUUGCGGUUAAAAAGCUCGUAGUUGGAUCUCAGUUCCGGACUGACGGUGCACCGCCCGGUGUUUACUGUCACGCUCCGAACAGCCGCCCCGCCGGCUCGCACGGGAUGCUCUUUGUCGAGUGUCCCGAGUGGCCGGAGAGUUUACUUUGAAAAAAUUAGAGUGCUCAGAGC
rnacentral:rRNA from 1 species